rnacentral:lncRNA from 12 species
AGAUAUCCAAAAUCUCUGUGUGGUAUUCACUGCGAAGGACAACUCAAUUUCAGGAAGACUGAAGAAUCUGCAAACACAAUCUGUCCUUUUGGAGCCAGUGAUUCUCUUUGACCCAAAUUUGUACCCAAGGUGCUACAAACAGU